AGAAAAAUCUCCGAUGCAAACCAACAUUCCGUGAAGCUGGACUGAGGAAUUACAGAGAACAAACUUCGAUGCGUCACCAUUGGGUCCACAGACGUCGCCAGGAGGGCAAGUGUAAACAGUGUGGGAAGUCAUUCCAACAGCGAUUCGCUUUCCAAAGCAAAGUAAGUA